rnacentral:rRNA from 1 species
AUUGAACGCUGGCGGCAGGCCUAACACAUGCAAGUCGAGCGGAUGAAGGGAGCUUGCUCCUGGAUUCAGCGGCGGACGGGUGAGUAAUGCCUAUGAAUCUGCCUGGUCGUGGGGGAUAACGUCCUGAAACGGGCGCUAAUACCGCAUACGUCCUGAGGGUGAAAGUGGGGGAUCUUCGGACCUCACGCUAUCAGGUGAGCCUAGGUCGGAUUAGCUAGUUGGUGGGGUAAAGGCCUACCAAGGCGACGAUCCGUAACUGGUCUGAGAGGAUGAUCAGGCACACUGGAACUGAGACACGGUCCAGACUCCUACGGGAGGCCGCAGUGGGGAAUAUUGGACAAUGGGCGAGAGCCUGAUCCAGCCAUGCCGCGUGUGUGAAGAAGGUCUUCGGAUUGUAAAGCACUGUAAGUUGGGGGGAAGGACAGUAAGUUAAUACCUGGCUGUUUUGACGGUACCAGAAGAAUAAGCACCGGCUAACUUCGUG